rnacentral:rRNA from 1 species
GAUGAACGCUGGCGGCAUGCUUUACACAUGCAAGUCGAACGGCAGCACGGGGCAACCUGGUGGCGAGUGGCGAACGGGUGAGUAAUAUAUCGGAACGUACCCAAGAGUGGGGGAUAACGUAGCGAAAGUUACGCUAAUACCGCAUACGAUCUAAGGAUGAAAGCAGGGGAUCUUCGGACCUUGUGCUCCUGGAGCGGCCGAUAUCUGAUUAGCUAGUUGGUGAGGUAAAGGCUCACCAAGGCGACGAUCAGUAGCUGGUCUGAGAGGACGACCAGCCACACUGGAACUGAGACACGGUCCAGACUCCUACGGGAGGCAGCAGUGGGGAAUUUUGGACAAUGGGCGAAAGCCUGAUCCAGCAAUGCCGCGUGAGUGAAGAAGGCCUUCGGGUUGUAAAGCUCUUUUGUCAGGGAAGAAACGGUUGUGGCUAAUAUCCAUGGCUAGUGACGGUACCUGAAGAAUAAGCACCGGCUAACUACGUGCCAGCCGCCGCCGUAA